CAAUAGCGUAUAUUAAAGUUGUUGCAGUUAAAAAGCUCGUAGUUGGAUUUCGGGGCAGCCUGGCUGGUCCGCCGCAAGGCGAGUACUGGUCAGCCGCCCUUCCUCUCGAAAGCCCCGACUGCUCUUCGUUGCAGUGGUCGGGUAGUUCGGGACGUUUACUUUGAAAAAAUUAGAGUGUUCAAGGCAGGCCUACGCCUGACUACAUUAGCAUGGAAUAAUGGAAGAGGACCUCGGUCCUAUUUUGUUGGUUUCCAGGGCCGAAGUAAUGAUUAAGAGGGACAGUUGGGGGCAUUCGUAUUUAAUUGUCAGAGGUGAAAUUCUCGGAUUUAUGAAAGACGAACAACUGCGAAAGCAUUUGCCAAGGAUGUUUUCAUUAA
rnacentral:rRNA from 1 species